CCCAGGUCAGGCGAGGCGACCCGCUGAGUUU
rnacentral:rRNA from 1 species